CACGUAGGGGGCGAGCGUUGUCCGGAUUCAUUGGGCGUAAAGGGCGCGCAGGCGGCUCGGAAAGUCGGGUGUGAAAACUCGGGGCUCAACCCCGGGCGUGCAUCCGAUACUGCCGGGCUUGAGGCAGGUAGGGGGAGAUCGGAAUUCCUGGUGUAGCGGUGAAAUGCGCAGAUAUCAGGAGGAACACCGGUGGCGAAGGCGGAUCUCUGGGCCUGUCCUGACGCUGAGGCGCGAAAGCUAGGGGGAGCGAACAGG
rnacentral:rRNA from 1 species